UUCAAAUUUGAUAUGUAUUCGUUCAAAAUACUCACAAAUUAUGAACAAAAACUUUUGAACAACACUCUUACAAUCAAUAACCCUCAGAUUUCAGAAAAAAUGAUGGCCUCUUUUGCUUGAAAUCAUAGAAAUGGUAGAACCCUAAACUUUUUUAGGGUUAUUCACAUAUCCAAAUUGUUUUAAUCAAAAUCGGUGAUUUUUACUACCUUUUAUUGACUAAAAUGGCUCAAAAAUUUUAAAUAAAGCCUGCAAGAUUCAAUUAUAAAGCUGAAAAAUGAUAAAAAAAUGACAAAAAACCAUGAAAAUCGUGAAGAACACUGUGUAGCUCGUGUUCUUGGACGAGUCACUGUUGAGACUCAACGAUUCACUAUUGGGAAUUGCUCGGUUCUCUCUAGACACUGGCAAUUCCCGGUAUUGUAGUGGAAUCGGCACGCGGUUUGCCGAUUCCCGAGUCGAACUGCGAGUCCGGUUCGACUUGCCGAGUUUUCAAACCCUGCUAUAGACCAUCAUUUCUUUCUUUUUUGGCACUUAAUUGCGAUCACAUUUAUAACAUGUUAUUGGUUUCAACAUGAUAAAUUGUUGGAAAAAUAUGAUUGGAAUAACAUGAUUUUAUUAUGACAAAUUUUAUUUUUAUUAAUUAUUUAUAGAAGUCUUUCAAAUGUCGCUCUAUAUAAUUUGAAGUAGACAAUAAAUGUAUGUACUAAAUUCAAAAUCUGUAUGGUACAAGUUAAAUAAUGGCUUGACAUUGGUUUCAACGUGAUAAGUCAUUGGAGCAAUAUGAUUGGAAUAACAUGAUUUUAUUAUGAUAAACUUUACUUUUAUUAAUUGUUUAUAGAAUGCCUUUCUAUAUAAUUUGAAGUAAACAAUAAAUUUAUGUUCUAAAUUCAAAAUUUGUAGGGUACAAGUUAAAUAAGGGGAAAAAGUUUGAUUAGUAAAUUAGAAGGUUGGGUAAUUGCAGUAUAAAGUUUUGAGGUACAGGAGCAGACUAAAGUUGGAUGUUAUUUCAAUUGAGAUUUUGGUAAUCUCUUAUGAAAAUUAUGUUGUGAAAUUUUUUGUUAUGAUUGUGUUGUGUAAUUUAUCAUUGAUUACUGAUUUUUGUUUUUAUUUUUAUUUUUUAUUUUUUUAUUUGACACUGAUCCCUUCAUGUCAGAUGAGGGGACAAGCUUAAAAAGGGAGAGAUCACAUUAUGUUAUGAAAUUUUUUUAUUAUGAUUGUGUUAUGUAAUUUUUUGUUUUUAUUAUUUUUGUUGCCUUCACAUAAGGGAAGUAGCUUAAAAAGGGGAUCAAUCACCCAGUUAUUUUGAAGAGAAGUAGCUUAAAAAGGGGAUCACCUAGUUAUUGUUUAAGAGAGGGUUUAGAAAAUUUUUUAUUUUUAUUUUUAAUUAGGGAUAGAAUAGUAAAAAAUGCACAUCUUCCAAAACUACUCGACAUUUUCGUAAUGGAUUUUUCAUCUAUCACCGCGUGUAAUGGAUUUGAUGAUUUUAAGGGAAAUCUCGUGCAAUCGCUUUCCAUUUUUUUACGAUUAAGUGUACGCAAAUGGUGGAAAUGUUUUAUUUUGUUGUAAAUGUUAUAUUUUGUAGUAAUAUAUUGUCAAUACCCAAUAGGCUUCUAAGGCAUGUGUAUAGGUUUUGUUAGGCUAGAUCCCCAAUAUUUUUUGAUAUUUAGAUACUUUUAUCCUAUAGUGAAGUAAUUUUUUAUUUAGUGUUAUUUUAAGUAAUUAGUCAUUUUCCAUUUAGGAUUUUGUGUGUUGUUGUAGCGAACUAGGGUGUGCUAUUUUUCUUAUAUUUUCUAUUUUGUCCUCUGUUUUGAUGAAUGUUGCUUUUCCAUUUUGUUCUAUUUUCUUAGAUAAAUUAUGUUGAGGUUAUAACUUUUUAUUGAUUAGCAACAUGACUUGCCUUACUAAUGAACUUUCUUUCCCUCUUUUGCCUUCUGGUACUUAUUAUAUUACUGAUCGUUUAUUUAGUUGCAGCUGGGAUACCUCACGACUGGUGGUCGAUCAAUUGACGAGGUGUUGAAAUUAUUCCGAAAUUAUUCCUUCUGCUAUUCUCAAAAAAAAAAAAAAAAAAAAAAUUCUACCCUGUACUCUAAUGGCGCUCUAAUGAUAAGCGUAUAAUUUGGUAGAAACGGUUGUACCGUGUCGAUGGUAGAGACCGGUGUAGUUCAAUAAUGGAAGAACCCAAGUGGGGUAGGAAUCUUUCUUUCUGACACUCUGCAUCUAAUCCAUUAAGUGGUGGAAGGGUGUCUCUACCAUGUUUGGGUGAUCAACUUGAUUAUUUAUUUUUUAGCGUAAUUAAUGCAUCCCAUAUUGUUAUAUAGUUCGUUAAUAAAAAGUUAUAGUGUUUGUAGUUCAUUUUAUGUUUAUUUGUGUUAAUUUUAUAGAUGUACUUUCAUGGUUUCUUGCCAGGCAUACAGGGCAUUGGCGGUAUCAGAAAACGUGGGUCUAAAAUUAAAAUAUUAUGAUUUUGGCGCAACCUUUAGGUGAGAAUGAAGCUAGAUGCUUCAUAAUAGGACUCUCGUUGGUACUACUGCCAAUCUCAAAGGGUAUGACAGGCUAGUUGGUACUACUACCAAUCUCAAAGGGUAUGACAAGCUCGUUGGUACUACUGCCAAUCUCAAAGGGUAUGACAGGCUCGUUGGUACUACUGUCAAUCUCGAAGGGUAUGUCAGGGAGUUGGUACUACUGCUAAUCUGAAAGGGUAUGACAGGCUCGUUGGUAUUACUGCCAAUCUCAAAAAGUAUGUCAUGGAGUUGGGCCUAUAUCAUUUGGUGAGAAUGAAGUUGGAGGCAAUAAAGGGUAUGACAGGCUCGUUGGUACUACUGCCAAUCUCAAAGGGUAUGUUAGGGAGUUGGGCCUAUAUCAUUUGGUGAGAAUGAAGGUGGUUACCUCCCCAUUGAGCUCGGCAAUAAUUCCGCCAAGGCCACAACUUGUUAUCUUAUGUUUCAAUGCAAACGUGGAUUGGACUUAUGAUAAUUGUUUUAUUUUGAUUUCCUUGCAAAUGUAGUAUAUCUUAACAACUAAUAAAUAGGUUUUUAUUUUUGGGAAAAUUAUGUACAUAUUCGUUAUAGAGUGCGUUAUUGCAAAAGUACGAAAUGGUUUUAUUUCCUAUUUGUUCGUUUUUUUCUGUUCUUUUUUUUCUUGUCAUAACGAUUUUUUUUUAAAGAAGACAAGUUUACCUUUUUCGGUUGUUGAACAAACGAAUUCAAUGGAUUUUCGGAUGUUUAAUAAUAGUAAUCAGGCCAUUUUUUUUGUUUUCCAUUCAGGUCAAUGUCAGAUUUUGAAAAAUCGAAAAUUCAAAAUUCUUGGUUGUUGAAUUUUAUGUUAUUCAAGAAUCAAUGUUUUUUUUUCAUAGGUACUCCUCUUUUUUGGUUAUUGAAUAACUGAAUUCAAUGGAUUUUCUAUUGUUCAAUAACGGAUAUCUUCUCUAUUUUUUUUUAACCACGUUUUAUCCGUCUUUUUUCUUUAAACUCUUGUCAAUGUUUAUCUACGAAGAUUAGUCAUUUGUAGAGAGAAUGGAUAAACAUAGGGAAGAGUUUGAACCAUGAGAAUGGAGGUAUAGAGAAAAUGGAUAAACAUAGGCGAGACAAUCCACAAGUACAGUGGAGAGUCUUAUGUUUAUCUAUUACUCUAUACUUUACAUUAGGUGGGUUUAAACUAUUCCUUAUAGAGUUUAAAGCGAAAAGAUGGGUAAUGUGUAGGUGAAGAUGACUCUAUACUGGUUUAAACACUUCCUUAUAGAGUUUAAAGGGAAAAGAUAGGUAAUGUGCGGGUGAAGAUGGGUAUGGAGGAUUUCGGUUGUUGAAGAAAGAGGAGUAUUUAUUGAGAAAAUUUUGGUUUUUGAAGAGUCGGUAAUUUAAAAUUUUGUUUUAGAAUAGAAAAUUUCGGUUCUUGCAGAGUCGAUAAUUUAAAAUUUUGUUUCAGAACAUUUAGGCUCUAUCAUAAUUGCCCUCUAGAGAAUGGGGCUUUUUAUCUUUAAAGAUGCCGUCUGAAGCCGCUACUCUAGGGCAUCUCCACCGAGGUCUCGUGAUGGCCUCCUCCCCUAGCAUCCCCUCUUGUAUUGGCUCCUCCCCUAGCAUCCCCUAUUGUAUUGGCGAUCAAAUCCUCUUCCAAGGAAGAAGACCUCUCACUGUGGUAUCGGAACUCGUCCCAAAAGCCUUGUAGGAAGAUAGAGGUCAUGGGAAAGCAGGAUAAGAUGCGUAAUGCUGUUGGAGAUUGUAAUUGUGGAGGAAGGCGUUCCAUUAGGGGUCUUGAAUGGGCUCUAUGCUCCCAAAAGAAGGAGGCUUCGAAGGAGAGAGGUCCAAAAGUUACUUGCGGAAUUCCCUUCCCGCCUACUGCUACCCACUUUGGGGUGAUUUGGGGAGGAACAAAAUUUCACAUGUACCGAUGAUUGCUCCUGGAACAUAAGGGGUUUUCGGGGUUUCUAGCAAAAAUAGAGGUUUGUUACAAUUAUUGGGGGGUUCCAACCCCAUAACUUAGUUUCUUCUAGAAUCCCAAUUGUUUUCUCCUGUUGCGAUGGAUGUGGGAGUUCUUGUUCUUUUUUUGAGUGCCCGAUGGUUGUUUGCUAUGGUGGCCUUUCAAUCCAUCUGAAUUAUUUUCUCAUUUUGGAAUCGUGGCAUGCAUGAACUUUGUAUCUAUGUGACUAUUCUUUUGUGGUCCAAAAAUUCAACUUUGAACUUGAUAUAUGUGUUUGUUUAAUUUUGAUGAUUAGUAUCAAACUUUUUUUUUUCUUAUACAUGUGUAGUUGAACACCUACUCCAAAUAUUUUGCACUAAACAUGUGAUACAUAUAUGAAAUCUGCACUGGACAUUUUAAUAGUUUUGAAUAUUUGAUAUUACACCAUAUUUCAAUUCUUC